rnacentral:tRNA from 2 species
GCGGGUAUGGCGGAAUUGGCAGACGCGCCAGACUUAGGAUCUGGUAUCUUACGAUGUGCAGGUUCGACCCCUGUUACCCGCA